AUCGAACGCUGGCGGCAGGCCUAACACAUGCAAGUCGAACGAGUGGCGGACGGGUGAGUAAUGUCUGGGAAACUGCCUGAUGGAGGGGGAUAACUACUGGCAACGGUAGCUAAUACCGCAUACCAUCGGAUGUGCCCAGAUGGGGUUAGCUAGUAGGUGGGGUAAAGGCUCACCUAGACGACGAUCCCUAGCUGGUCUGAGAGGAUGACCGGCCACACUGGAACGGAGACACGGUCCAGAAUCCUACGGCAGGCAGCAGUGGGAAAUAUUGCACAAGGGGCGCAAGCCUGAUGCAGCCAGGCCGCGUGUAUGAGGAAGGCCUUCGGGUUGUAAAGUACUUUCAGCGGGGAGGCGUUACCCGCAGAAGAAGCACCGGCUAACUCCGUGCCAGCAGCCGCGGUAAUAC
rnacentral:rRNA from 1 species